ensembl:lncRNA
CGCGUGGCGGUGGGGCCGGGGUCGGUUGCUCUCUCGCCUCUCCUCUGUGAGGCUCCAAUACCGUGCGGCUCUUGGAGCUUUUAUUUUUGUUUUCUUAACCAUCUCUGGUUGCGAUCGGGUAUAGAGAGGAGGGACUUUGUUCCCGUUAGGGGCUUGUGGCUCAGCCAGAGCCGCUGGUCUGCUGCUCUGAACCUUGUCAGAAAAGGGCUGUCGUGGGGCUGCGCUUCUCAUCGAGCUCCUCUGCUUUCGCCUUGUCGCCUUUGUGCCUAUUCCCCCCUGCUUUUCUUUUGGAUCUGCGGAGCUUCCAAACGAACUUACCUCAGUAGGGUGCCCACGGAUUUGGUCUGCCCGGAAGAGAGAAGUGCCCAUAGAACCAUAGGAUGGCCUGGGUUGAAAAGGACCACGAUGAUCAUCGAGUUUCAACCCCCCUGCUGUGUGCAGGGUCGCCAACCACCAGACCCUGUGCCCGUGUAUUACACUGCCAAAGCAAAACCACAACGGCACGCAUCCGUGUGAUGUAAAUACAUGCAAUAACGCAGGCACGAAGAGUUCCUACAGCGCUCUUGGGAUCCAUUUGGAAAUGGCACUGAACCUGGCCAGGAGUUAGUAAUAUUUUCAGUGAAUAAUCUCGUUUCUGUUAGCGACCUGAGAGCUUCGGGUGAUAAAACAGCCCACACAAGAACAUGCAGAAGCAGAAAAUGCAAGAUAAUGCGUGUGUGGGGUAAUGAGUACUUGCACCAUAAAUCAAGGAGCUCUCUGGCAGAGGACUGCGAAAAUACCCAGGCUUGUUAGUCAAUGGGGAAAGGAAGCUAACAGUUUAAAAUGCAGUUGCGAAGAGAGCCCCGCAAAUGUGACUGAUGUGUGUGAGGUCAAACCUCUGAGUUGCCUGUGAGACAUUAUUGUGUCCUGGACUGACGAACCGUGUCCAGGAGAAGGAACCUGUACAGAAAUACACCCAGGAGGGUUACUGGAGCAGAGCAAAGCUUAUCUACAAGAAUACACUUGGAAUAUUUGUCUGGCUAAUGCGGCAAAAGCAAACGUGGAGGAGGGAGUAUGGCUGCUGGUAACAAAAAAGCAAGGGCAGAAUCAAGGAGUGGCCAUUCAAGCUAAUAAACAAGGUUGAUAGAACAGUGUAGAUCUAAAUUAGAGAAGCUGCUGACGGCUGGUUUCUGGUGAGGAGGGUGAUCGGAAUGAAGAUGCAACAGGAGUGUUCACACAGAACAGAUUCACGCCAGCUGGUGAUCACACUAUUAAUUUCCCUUUCUUCCCUGUGGUGACGUUAUCUCUUUUUUUACCAACUACAAAAUCGUGUUUGUCGUCUUCAUGAGAACAGCAACUUUCCAGAUGAGAGCAGGAACCACAUCAGGGCACUCGUGAAGGGACGGAACACUGGACCUGAGCUUGGCUGAGGUCAUUGGCAGCGCUGGAUGCACAGGAGCUAGGCUAGUAGGGAGCCAGGAGGGCACAGGGAGUGAAAAUUUGAUCGACCAUUCCCAAAGCACUGAGAAAUCUAAAUGGAAAUAUCCUGGCUUGGCUUGUGACCUCAUUUUUCUUGUUCUUAGUGGAGUUUCGGUGGACUUCUGCUGAUGCGUUACGCGUCUUACAGCAAAGAGUUCUUUUACUUACCACAAAAGCAAACAGGAAACCUCGGUGAUAUUAUUAAUGUUAAUGAAAAGCUUCCACUAUGUGCCUUAAGUUUUGUAAGAAAUACUCAUCUGCCAAUGAAGUUAAGUUAAAUGGCUGUCAUCCAUACGUAGAUUCAAAACAGGGGAGUCAGCUUCAGGAUAUAAAAAACCCCCGUGAAAUAAAUUAACAACAGCUAAUUUAUUAUUCCAUUUGACUCUCUCUUUCUCCUUAUGAUGUUUAAAAAUAAUUCAAUCACAAGAUUUAAGAGGAAGUGGAAAUAAUGAUGAUCUGUUUUUAUUAAGGUACAAAACUCUUGGAGUAUCUAUGGCAAACAGAGUAGACAUUGCUGUCUGAGUCAGACUUGAAAGGAAAUGUUUAAUCCCCUAUUUUAAUAACCAGCAUAUGAGCAACAGGACCUUGUAUUUCACAAGCAUUAGAUUUUUGUAUGUGUCAAUAAAAAAAUCAGUACUACAGUUACAGUAGUAUUAUAUUUUUAUAUGGUUACUUUGAGUGAAACAUUCAAUCUUUAAGAUGCCUUAAUUGCUGCGAGUUACACUGGAAAUUAAAAUAAGCUUUCCAAUCUACUCUUCCUGUAUUUAUUUCUUAAAUGCGCAUUUUCUUAAAUGGGGCAGUACUUAAUCACCUCAGAUGUGAUCAAAUCAUAGCUGAGAUAAUUUUGUACAUGUGCUGAAACUGGUUUAGUACUAUGGGUGCAUGUCAGAGUAGAGGCGUUUGUUCUGGAUGUUUGGAUCUGUGUUGCCUGUUCUAGGCAGGGAAGAGCAAAUGGCAUGCGACCCCUGCCCCGGGUCCCUGAAUAGGGGCAGUUUUAAGGGCACACCAGGUCCAGCUCCUGGCUCCACACAGGACCACCCAAAAUCAAACCCUAUGUCUGAGAGCAGUGUCCAAAUGCUCCGUGAACCCUGACACUCGGGGCCAUGCCCACAGCCCUGGGCAGCCGGUUCCAUGCCCACCACCUUCUGGUGCAGCCCCUUUCCCUAACUCCCAGCUGCCCCUCCCCUGACAACUCCAUGCCGUUCCCUCAG